UACGGGGGGAGCAAGCGUUGUUCGGAUUUACUGGGCUUAAAGGGCGCGUAGGCGGCCAGCACAAGUCAGUUGUGAAAUCUCCGAGCUUAACUCGGAACGGUCAACUGAUACUGUGCGGCUAGAGUGCGGAAGGGGCAACUGGAAUUCUUGGUGUAGCGGUGAAAUUCGUAGAUAUCGGGAUGAACACCAGUGGCGAAGGCGGCGACCUGGACAGAUAUUGACGCUGAGGUGCGAAAGCGUGGGGAGCAAACAGG
rnacentral:rRNA from 1 species